AGUGGGAUAGCUGGAUCAAAUGGUGGUUCCAUUCAAAGUUUUCUAAGGAAUCUACAUACUUCUUUCCAGAUUUGUUGCACCAAUUUGCAGUCCCACAAGGGAU
rnacentral:pre_miRNA from 1 species